CCUACGGGAGGCAGCAGUGAGGAAUAUUGGUCAAUGGACGAGAGUCUGAACCAGCCAAGUAGCGUGAAGGAUGACUGCCCUAUGGGUUGUAAACUUCUUUUACAUGGGAAUAAAAUGUUCCACGUGUGGGAUUUUGUAUGUACCAUAUGAAUAAGGAUGGGCUAACUCCGUGCCAGCAGCCGCGGUAAUUCGGAGGAUUCGAGCGUUAUCCGGAUUUAUUGGGUUUAAAGGGAGCGUAGGUGGAUUGUUAAGUCAGUUGUGAAAGGUUGGGGCUCAACCGUAAAAUUGCAGUUGAAACUGGCAGUCUUGAGUACAGUAGAGGUGAGCGGAAUUCGUGGUGUAGCGGUGAAAUGCUUAGAUAUCACGAAGAACACCGAUUGCGAAGGCAGCUCACUGGACUGCAACUGACACUGAGGCUCGAAAGUGUGGGGAUCAAACAGGAUUAGAUACCCCAGUAGUC
rnacentral:rRNA from 1 species